rnacentral:rRNA from 1 species
UAGUGGCAAUGGCGGAGAGGACACACCCGUUCCCAUCCCGAACACGGAAGUUAAGCUCUCCAGCGCCAAUGGUACUUGGGGCGGGAGCCCCCCGGGAGAGUAGGUCGCUGCUA